UUUUAUAAUUCAAUAUUUGCGUAAAUUAUUUGUAGUUGAAUAAUUUUUUUAUAUAAUUAUUUUUAAUACAUGUUAAUUGCAGGUGCAAGAAGACAUUCGUCGUAAUGAGUUUGACAUGAAUGAUAGUACAGAUGCAGAACAAAGUUCCCAAAAUUAUAUACGUAGAAGACAAAUUAGACUUGGGGGAGGUGAUAAGGGUCAGCAACAAAGAUCCUGAAAAAUGGAGAUGGGAAUUGGCGUUGGGAAGUGGCUGGUAAAGUGUGCAAUGGAUGAAAAG